ensembl:lncRNA CCDC144NL-AS1 CCDC144NL antisense RNA 1
GCAGUAUAUAAAUGAUGCUGAAGCGGAAACACGUUUUUUCAAGUUCCUGUAUUUUUAUGUGGAGUUGCUCACUGCCCAACGUAGAGGACUAGGAAUCAGGAGUCGGUGGCCGUAUGCUGGAGGCUGGAGCCGCGGGAGCGCGGCUCGCCUCGCUGCGGUUGUUGGCAGUGACGGAGAGAGAGCAGCGCGGCUGGAGCAGUGACACAAAUCACUAUGUAAUAUAGUUAGCCUUUGAACAACACGGAUUUGAACUGCAGGGGUCUACUUAUGAGCAGAUUUUCUCCCACCUCUACCACCUGAGACAGCGAAGACCAAUCUUCCUCUUCCUCCUUCUCCUUAGCCUGCUCAACUUGAAGACUAUGAUGAAGAGUUAUAUAAUGAUCUACUUGCAUUUAAUGAACAAUAGUUUCCCUUGCAAAGUUAUCAAAGUGCUCCCCAGAAGACAUUAGGUAUUUGCUUUCUAGUCUACAUACAAUGAAAAGGAAAAAACGUCAGUUCCUGAAGCUCUCUCAAAACAUCAACAGAUGGAAAGACGUGCCCAUGUCCUCCCCUCCCUCCACUCUGGGGGCUUGGAAAUGCUGCAGCAGGGAGCAGGCCCCAGGCUGGACCUGCCCUGUCCUCACGACGAGUGUGUGCAAAAGUGAACAAUAAAUCAUUUCAAAGAUGCAAGGAAGAAAAACCAAAACAUCAACAGAAUCUUCUUUCCCAUAAUCUUCAUGCACCUCCUGGUCCGGAUGAGUUUAUGUUCCCAUCUCCGAGCACAGGGAUUGAUUGUGAUGGCAUUUAUAGGACUGAGUGCCCCACACUCUGUGAUCCAGCAUGGAGUUAUGAUUUACAUCACCACAGGAAGAGUACAGAGGCUUCAACAGAAAAAAAGCAAAAACAACAGACCUUCAUUCAGCUUAGGAACAUAAUAAAUAGGACGAAGUUGAAUAAACGAAAUGGAGGGGAGUGAAGUAUUCCAGAUGGAAGAGGCAGUACGUGGCCAAGAGGAAACAGACCAUGUGCGCUGGAGAAAAAGGAUGGCCAGACUUGCAGAAACCUGGAAUUGGUGAUUGGCUUUAGAAGUGGAGAGACAAAAAAGGAGGCAUAGAAAGUGCCAACAUUUGGCUACACAGGGAAGAAAGACGUAAAAUAAUAAAAACAUUGGCAUCACCUGUAGACUCAAAUCCUGUGAGUGAAGGACCUGAGCAAUGAAGGAUGGAUUGAACUCGUGAUUAGCCUUCUUCAGCAUAUGUAAAAUGAUGUCUGCUUUUCUUCUCUAUUUGUCAUUUUACCGACUUUUUAUAUAUAGUAGUUUCCCCAUAUCCAUGGAGGAUGUAUCCCAAGACCCCCAGAGGAUGCUUGAAACCACAGAUAAUAACAAACUCUAUGUAUCCUAUGAUUUUUCCUGUACAUCCUUACCUAUCAUAAAGUGAGUGUAUAAACUAGGCACAGGAGAUUAAAAACAAUAACUCAUAAUAAAAUAGAACAAUUAGUACAACCUAA